GGCCCAGAUAAGCUGAAAUUCCAUUCCGAUUCCGUUCCGUUUUGACGUUGUGGAUCGCAGUGGAACUUAUGUUCAACCCUGUGCAUAUGUCUAAACCAGAGCAAAACAAAUCGAUCAUCUCUUUUUCUCCUAUCAAUUUUUCUUUCGUGUGUCAUCAUGCGUUGCGUUACCAGUCAGAAAGAGAUAAAAAACUUUGUUUACAUAUAGUAUUAAAAGCAGCAAACGAAAAUUUCAAUCACAUUUUAAAUCUUUCUGCAAUUAAAAAUAUAUAUUAGCAAAAGUUUUUCACUACAAUCGGAGCAUAAAAAAGUUCCGGAAGUGCUUGUGGAGUUUUGUUGUUGUUUUUCCGAAUAUUGAAGGCUCUUUUGUAUGGCAAUACAAAUUACGAAAUUACAACGAGUGAAACGUGUUAGCAUCUUUGAUACACAGCUGCUAUUUGGACCAGCGAUCAUGCAGUUUUGAAGGCUACACGUGGAAAUGGAUACCCUCGAUACGAGAUUUCAACGUGCCAUAAUGCGAUUUGGAGCUGGCUGAUAACUAUUCGACUAAAACUAUAUAAGGAAUAGACAAACGAAUGAAAUAUCA